rnacentral:rRNA from 1 species
UACAGAGGUCUCAAGCGUUGUUCGGAUUCAUUGGGCGUAAAGGGUGCGUAGGCGGCGCGGUAAGUCGGGUGUGAAAUCUCGGGGCUUAACUCCGAAACUGCAUUCGAUACUGCCGUGCUUGAGGACUGGAGAGGAGACUGGAAUUUACGGUGUAGCGGUGAAAUGCGUAGAUAUCGUAAGGAAGACCAGUGGCGAAGGCGGGUCUCUGGACAGUUCCUGACACUGAGGCACGAAGGCCCAGGGGGAGCAAAACGGGG